rnacentral:rRNA from 1 species
CCAGACUCCUACGGGAGGCAGCAGUGGGGGAUAUUGCACAAUGGGGGAAACCCUGAUGCAGCGACGCCGCGUGGGUGAAGAAGCGCCUCGGCGCGUAAAGCCCUGUCAGCAGGGAAGAAAAUGACGGUACCUGAAGAAGAAGCCCCGGCUAACUACGUGCCAGCAGCCGCGGUAAUACGUAAGGGGCAAGCGUUAUCCGGAUUUACUGGGUGUAAAGGGAGCGUAGACGGUGAGACAAGUCUGAAGUGAAAGCCCGGGGCUCAACCCCGGGACUGCUUUGGAAACUGCCUGACUGGAGUGCUGGAGAGGCAAGCGGAAUUCCUAGUGUAGCGGUGAAAUGCGUAGAUAUUAGGAGGAACACCAGUGGCGAAGGCGGCCUACUGGACGGUGACUGACGCUGAGGCUCGAAAGCGUGGGGAGCAAACAGGAUUAGAUACCCGAGUA